rnacentral:rRNA from 1 species
CAGCCGCCGCGGUAAUACCGGCGGCCCGAGUGGCGGUCACUAUUAUUGGGCUUAAAGCGUCCGUAGCCGGGUUGGGAAGUCCUCCGGGAAAUCUGGCCGCUUAACGGUCAGAAUGCCGGAGGAUACUCCCAGCCUAGGGAGCGGGGGAGGCCGAGGGGAUUCCCGGAGUAGGGGUGAAAUCCUAUAAUCCCGGGAGGACCACCUGUGGCGAAGGCGCUCGGCUGGAACGCGUCCGACGGUGAGGGACGAAGGCCAGGGGAGCAAACCGGAUUAGAUACCCGGGUAGUCCUGGCUGUAAACGAUGCGGACUAGGUGUCGGGCAAGCUAAGGGCUUGUCCGGUGCCGCAGGGAAGCCGUUAAGUCCGCCGCCUGGGGAGUACGGCCGCAAGGCUGAAACUUAAAGGAAUUGGCGGG